rnacentral:rRNA from 1 species
UGAGGAACCUAUCCCAGUCUCUGGAAUAACAGGUGGAAACACCUGCUAAUACCGGAUACCGCUGGACCAUCGCAUGGUGGACCAACGAAAGAUUUAUCGGAUUGGGAGGGCCUCGCGGCCUAUCAGCUUGUUGGUGAGGUAACGGCUCACCAAGGCGUCGACGGGUAGCUGGUCUGAGAGGAUGAUCAGCCACACUGGGACUGAGACACGGCCCAGACUCCGUAGGGACGG